GACGAACCGUGCGAACGUUAUUCGGAAUCACUGGGCUUAAAGGGUGCGUAGGCGGGUGGACAAGUCGAGGGUGAAAGCCUCUAGCUUAACUAGAGAAGUGCCCUCGAUACUGUUUGUCUUGAGAGAGAUAGGGGCACACGGAACUUCCGGUGGAGCGGUGAAAUGCGUAGAUAUCGGAAGGAACGCCGGUGGCGAAAGCGGUGUGCUGGAUCUUUUCUGACGCUGAGGCACGAAAGCUAGGGUAGCGAACGGGAUUAGAUACCCCGGUAGUCCUAGCCCUAAACGAUGAGUACUAGAUUGUGGACUGACAUGGGUUCACAGUCGAAGCAAAAGUAUUAAGUACUCCGCCUGGGGAGUAUGGUCGCAAGGCUG
rnacentral:rRNA from 1 species